rnacentral:lncRNA from 1 species
AAGAUUCAUUCAGGGACUGGAGGGCAGUUGAGACACUGAGGGUUCCCAGGAAAUUGUUCAAGGCUUUUGGGAGAGUCUUCAGAGACAGAGAAACCAAGCACCCCUAAACCAGUUUUGUGUAUCAUGGAAAGGGGAGAAGAGGACCCCCUCUCUAAGGGGAAUUGGGUCCUAAAGUAGAAACACAAAACUUGAGGGGCUUAGUCCUAUUUG